rnacentral:rRNA from 1 species
AGAGUUUGAUCCUGGCUCAGGAUGAACGCUAGCUACAGGCUUAACACAUGCAAGUCGAGGGGCAGCAUGGUCUUAGCUUGCUAAGGCUGAUGGCGACCGGCGCACGGGUGAGUAACACGUAUCCAACCUGCCGUCUACUCUUGGCCAGCCUCCUGAAAGGAAGAUUAAUCCAGGAUGGGAUCAUGAGUUCACAUGUCCGCAUGAUUAAAGGUAUUUUCCGGUAGUACG